rnacentral:rRNA from 1 species
CCUACGGGAGGCAGCAGUGGGGAAUCUUGCGCAAUGGGCGAAAGCCUGACGCAGCAACGCCGCGUGCGGGAAGAAGGCUUUCGGGCUGUAAACCGCUUUCAGCAGGAACGAAAAUGACGGUACCUGCAGAAGAAGGAGCGGCCAACUAUGUGCCAGCAGCCGCGGUGAUACAUAGGCUUCAAGCGUUGUCCGGAUUUAUUGGGCGUAAAGAGUUCGUAGGCGGUCGAGUAAGUCGGGUGUGAAAAUUCUGGGCUCAACCCAGAGACGCCACCCGAUACUGCUUAACUUGAGUUCGAUAGGGGAGUGGGGAAUUCCUAGUGUAGCGGUGAAAUGCGCAGAUAUUAGGAGGAACACCGGUGGCGAAGGCGCCACUCUGGAUCGAUACUGACGCUGAGGAACGAAAGCAUGGGUAGCAAACAGGAUUAGAUACCCUGGUAGUCCAUGCCGUAAACGGUGGGCACUAGGUGUGGGAUUCUAUUUAACGAAUUCCGCGCCGUCGCUAACGCAUUAAGUGCCCCGCCUGGGGAUUACGGCGCAAGCUAAACUUAAUGAAUUGACGG